rnacentral:rRNA from 1 species
AAACCUGAGAAACCCGAAAGAUCGAAUGGGGAGAUUCAUCGUCAGCGAUUACGGUACGUGUGCGGCUCGCGAUGUCGCGAGACUUCGGUCUCGCGGUACGCGUCCGCAUGUUUUUUAUUGCUGGAAUCGUCGGCGUGCACUUCUCCCCUAGUAGGACGUCGCGACCCGUUGGGUGUCGGUCUACGGCACGGUAGGUAGCCUGUCACGUGUGGCGCUUCACGGCGUUCACGCGGGGCAGACCUCCGUUCGCCCGACCGGCUGCCCGGCGGUACUCGCAAGGUAUCUGGCCGCAGACAUACGAACUGCGUCCGGCCCGUCGCAAGCGCGGCAAGUGUCUCCCGGCUGUACGGAUCCAAUGCCGUCACCGGGCCUUGCCAGCUGUUGGUUGACGGUGUCCUAGGACUGGCUAACAGAUACCGGUCGGCGACGCUACUGCUUUGGGUACUUUCAGGACCCGUCUUGAAACACGGACCAAGGAGUCUAACAUGUGCGCGAGUCAUUGGGAGCUAUUAAGCCUAAAGGCGCAAUGAAAGUGAAGAUCGGCCUCGCGCCGAUCGAGGGAGGAUGGGCCGCGUCACGAUGCGGUCCCGCACUCCCGGGGCGUCUCGUUCUCAU